rnacentral:misc_RNA from 1 species
UAAAAAAAAAGGACGUAAUCUGGCACUUGGAUCCUGAUUCUGAACAUUAAGGCUCAUGAAAGAUUGAUUUUUUUAAGAGAAUAAUUAAGACAACAGGCAAAUGCUUCCUUGCCUAAGCAUGAUUGAACCUUUUACUUUCCUCACCUCACUAUGUCAAUCAAAAAGAGAAAAACUGAUACAAGAGGGGUAUUCAACUCAGAAGAUUAUAUGAUCAACCAUUCAACCUCACUAAUUAGCAUAAAACUAGCUCCAGAACAAACUUAA